rnacentral:rRNA from 1 species
UACGGAGGGUGCAAGCGUUAUCCGGAUUCACUGGGUUUAAAGGGAGCGUAGGUGGGUUGGUAAGUCAGUGGUGAAAUCCCCGAGCUUAACUUGGGAACUGCCAUUGAUACUAUCAGUCUUGAAUACUGUGGAGGUUAGCGGAAUAUGUCAUGUAGCGGUGAAAUGCUUAGAUAUGACAUAGAACACCAAUUGCGAAGGCAGCUCACUACACGAAUAUUGACACUGAGGCACGAAAGCGUGGGGAUCAAACAGG